CAAUAGCGUAUAUUAAAGUUGUUGCGGUUAAAAGCUCGUAGUUGGAUUUCUGCCGAGGACGACCGGUCCGCCCUCUGGGUGAGCAUCUGGCUCGGCCUGGGCAUCUUCUUGGAGAACGUAUCUGCACUUGACUGUGUGGUGCGGUAUUCAGGACUUUUACUUUGAGGAAAUUAGAGUGUUUCAAGCAGGCAUGCGCCUUGAAUACAUUAGCAUGGAAUAAUAAGAUAGGACCUCGGUUCUAUUUUGUUGGUUUCUAGAGCUGAGGUAAUGAUUAAUAGGGAUAGUUGGGGGCAUUCGUAUUUAACUGUCAGAGGUGAAAUUCUUGGAUUUACGGAAGAUAAACUACUGCGAAAGCAUUCGCCAAGGAUGUUUUCAUUAAUCAAGAACGAAAGUUAGGGGAUCGAAGAUGAUUAGAUACCAU
rnacentral:rRNA from 1 species